ACGGCUCAGUAACACGUAGUCAACAUGCCCAGGGGACGUGGAUAACCUCGGGAAACUGAGGAUAAACCACGAUAAGUCACUGCUUCUGGAGUGGGUAAUGACUCAAAUCUACAUGGCCCCUGGAUUGGACUGCGGCCGAUCAGGCUGUUGGUGAGGUAAUGGCCCACCAAACCUGUAACCGGUACGGGCUCUGAGAGGAGGAGCCCGGAGAUGGGCACUGAGACAAGGGCCCAGGCCCUAUGGGGCGCAGCAGGCGCGAAACCUCUGCAAUAGGCGAAAGCCUGACAGGGUUACUCUGAGUGAUUUCCGUUAAGGAGAUCUUUUGGCACCUCUAAAAAUGGUGCAGAAUAAGGGGUGGGCAAGUCUGGUGUCAGCCGCCGCGGUAAUACCAGCACCCCGAGUGGUCGGGACGUUUAUUGGGCCUAAAGCAUCCGUAGCCGGUUCUACAAGUCUUCCGUUAAAUCCACCUGCUUAACAGAUGGGCUGCGGAAGAUACUAUAGAGCUAGGAGGCGGGAGAGGCAAGCGGUACUCGAUGGGUAGGGGUAAAAUCCGUUGAUCCAUUGAAGACCACCAGUGGCGAAGGCGGCUUGCCAGAACGCGCUCGACGGUGAGGGAUGAAAGCUGGGGGAGCAAACCGGAUUAGAUACCCGGGUAGUCCCAGCUGUAAACGAUGCAGACUCGGUGAUGAGUUGGCUUUAUGCCAACUCAGUGCCGCAGGGAAGCCGUUAAGUUUGCCGCCUGGGGAGUACGGUCGCAAGACUGAAACUUAAAGGAAUUGGCGGGGGAGCAC
rnacentral:rRNA from 1 species